GGCUUAGAGUUUGAUCAUGGCUCAGGACGAACGCUGGCGGCGCGCCUAACACAUGCAAGUCGAACGGGGUUGAGAGGAGCUUGCUUUUCUUGACUUAGUGGCGAACGGGUGAGUAACGCGUGAGGAACCUGCCUCAAAGAGGGGGACAACAGUUGGAAACGACUGCUAAUACCGCAUAAGCCCACAGUCUCGCAUGAGACAGAGGGAAAAGGAGCAAUCCGCUUUGAGAUGGCCUCGCGUCCGAUUAGCUAGUUGGUGAGGUAACGGCCCACCAAGGCGACGAUCGGUAGCCGGACUGAGAGGUUGAACGGCCACAUUGGGACUGAGACACGGCCCAGACUCCUACGGGAGGCAGCAGUGGGGAAUAUUGCACAAUGGGGGAAACCCUGAUGCAGCGACGCCGCGUGGAGGAAGAAGGUCUUCGGAUUGUAAACUCCUGUUGUUGGGGAAAAAGAGGAUGGUACCCAACAAGGAAGUGACGGCUAACUACGUGCCAGCAGCCGCGGUAAAACGUAGGUCACAAGCGUUGUCCGGAAUUACUGGGUGUAAAGGGAGCGCAGGCGGGUAUGCAAGUUGGGAGUGAAAUACAUGGGCUCAACCCAUGAACUGCUCUCAAAACCGUGUAUCUUGAGUAGUGCAGAGGUAGGCG
rnacentral:rRNA from 1 species